AUUGAACGCUGGCGGCAUGCUUUACACAUGCAAGUCGAACGGCAGCACGGGAGCUUGCUCCUGGUGGCGAGUGGCGAACGGGUGAGUAAUGCAUCGGAACGUACCCAGUAGUGGGGGAUAGCCCGGCGAAAGCCGGAUUAAUACCGGCAUAUUUCCUGAGGGAGAAAGCGGGGGACCUUCGGGCCUCGCGCUACUGGAGCGGCUGAUGUCGGAUUAGCUAGUUGGUGAGGUAAAGGCUCACCAAGGCGACGAUCCGUAGCUGGUCUGAGAGGAUGAUCAGCCACACUGGGACUGAGACACGGCCCAGACUCCUACGGGAGGCGAGCAGUGGGGAAUUUUGGGACAAUGGGGGCAACCCUGAUCCAGCCAUGCCGCGUGAGUGAAGAAGGCC
rnacentral:rRNA from 1 species